UGAAUUUAGAAUAUCAUCAAGUGACUUAAAAUUAAUAAGGCACUGUUUUCAGUGGAUGAACCGACAUCAUGCAGUGUGACAGGAAAACGCCCGUGAGACCAAAGAUGGCUUAGAUAAAAGGGAAGACGAUGCAGAAGCCUCUGUACCAGAGAAAAAUCCAGAGAUGGCCCUCGAAGAAGUUAGAAACAAGAUGAGAGACCGUCUCAAGUUGUUUAGGUCUGGAGCCACCUUCCCCCACCCACGAGUCGAAGAAAUAGAUCUUUGAACCAGGUUACCCGUGACAUCAAGAUAAACAAAAUUCAACUUCAGGGACAAUUUGAUAAUACCUGUUUAAAAAUUUUUUUUUAGCUCACCUGGGCCGAAGGUUCAAGUGAGCUUUUUUGAUCAAAAUUUGUUCGUUGUGUGUCGUCGGCGAAAACUUUUCACAUUUUCAUCUUCUCCAGAACCACUGGGUCAAUUUCAACCAAACUAAGUGACACAAAGCACCCUUGGGUGAAAGGCUUUCAAGUUUGUUCAAAUGAAGGGCCAUGCCCCUUCAAAGGGGAGAUAAUCGCAAAAAUACGGUGGGGUCAUUCAAAAAUCUUCUCAAGAACCACUGGGACAGAGAAGCUGAAAUUUACAUGAAAGCCUCCUGACAUAGUACAGAUUCAAGUUUGUUAAAACCAAUGACCUUGGGGGGGGGGGGGGGGGGGGGGUUGGAUUGGGUCUCAAUAGGGGAUCAAAGUUUUACUUACAAAUAUACAGGGAAAAUCUUUAUGAAAAUUGUCUUCUCAAGAAACACUUGGCCAGAAAAGCUGAGAUUUACAUGAAAGCUUCCCGACAUAGUGUAGACUCAAGUUUGUAAAAUUCACAGGGUUGUCACUAACGCAAGAAUAGGAUCACAGAAAUUUCAUUGGGGUUUGUCUGAUAUGGCGAGUCCCGCAGACGUGUCUCGGACUCUGAGUAAAAAUCAUAAUUUUACUUAGAAGCCCUGAUUUGUGUAUUAAUUAAAACUCAUAGGAAAAAAUCUAGGUAAAAACGUUACGCUCUAAUGUGAACCGAGAUGAUACCACCGAGUUCACACUGUCCCAAUCUGACUUGUUUGUUUAGUGCAGUCAAUUAGGUGCAAAUUAGAAUAUAAUAUUGAAAUUUAGAUACAAAGUAAAAAACAUUUUGCCACUCACAGGCAGUUAUUUAUAUAUGUUUCUUUUUCUUUUUUUUUUUUUACAAAUGAGGAUCUAUAUUUAAUUAUAAAUGUUUGUCUUCCGGUAGCCAUUUUUAUUGGAAUUGAAAGUAGCGUAGUUUGUAAACUUUGGUAGAUUUUACAUCAUUUUACAAACAAAAUUAGUACGCAUCUAUUUUAUCACAAUAAUUAUUUAAUUAAAAUUUUGUUUAAUACUGAAUAGGGUUGUAACGAUGAUAGAGGAUUCGGGGAAGUAAUUCUGUUUGCAAUGGGCAAUUAGAUGUAUGAGACCGAGUCGUGAAUGAUUACUUUUAAUUUCAUGUGUACAAAGUGAUCACUGCACUGUUAUGUAUGGGCUUGGCGAAAAUUAACUGAUUUUUGCCAUUUGUUGAAGAUGAAAGUGAACAGAGGUACAACAUUUAAGCUUGUGUUCACUCGGUAUAAAUAAAGGUGUAGGAAAAAUCUAAAUGACUCUUUAAUUCAACUUUCAUGGGACUCGUCAAAUUUUCAUGGGACUCGUCAAGUUUUCAUGGGACUCAAGCUGCUUACAAACCAUGAUACCGGGACUAGUCUUCAAUAUUUUCUAGUGACAACCCUGAAUCAUGGCCCCCAAGGGUAGGUUUUGGCCACAUUAUAGGGACAAAAGUUUUACAUACAAGUAUAUGGGAAAUCUUUAAAUAUGGACCAAGAUGACUAAGGUGAGCGAUGUGGCCCAUGGACCUCUUGUUUAGUUAUUUGUUUACAUAAGAAAUAGUGCUUUUUAGCUCACCCCAGCCAUAAUUUAAAUGAACUUUUCAAAGUACUUGCUUUGGAAGUUCAUAUAAGUAUUGCUGAAAUUUAUGUAUAUGUAUGUUAAAUAAAUUUUAUUAUCAGAUUAUCA